GACGAAGGAUCCAAGCGUUAUCCGGAUUUAUUGGGUUUAAAGGGUGCGUAGGCGGAUUGAUAAGUCAGUGGUGAAAGCCUGCAGCUUAACUGCAGAACUGCCAUUGAUACUGUCAAUCUUGAAUAUGGUUGAUGUGGGCGGAAUAUGACAUGUAGCGGUGAAAUGCUUAGAUAUCGAGAGGAACACCUGCGGCGAAGGCGGGUUGCUGGGCUGACACUGACGCUGAUGCGCGAAAGCCAGGGGAGCGAACGGG
rnacentral:rRNA from 1 species